rnacentral:rRNA from 1 species
AGUGAACGCUGGCGGUAGGCCUAACACAUGCAAGUCGAACGGCAGCACAGUAAGAGCUUGCUCUUACGGGUGGCGAGUGGCGGACGGGUGAGGAAUACAUCGGAAUCUACUUUUUCGUGGGGGAUAACGUAGGGAAGCUUACGCUAAUACCGCAUACGACCUACGGGUGAAAGCAGGGGAUCUUCGGACCUUGCGCGAUUGAAUGAGCCGAUGUCGGAUCAGCUAGUUGGCGGGGUAAAGGCCCACCAAGGCGACGAUCCGUAGCUGGUCUGAGAGGAUGAUCAGCCAAACUGGAACUGAGACACGGUCCAGACUCCUACGGGAAGCAGCAGUUGGGAAUAUUGGACAAUGGGCGCAAGCCUGAUCCAGCCAUACCGCGUGGGUGAAGAAGGCCUUCGGGUUGUAAAGCCCUUUUGUUGGGAAAGAAAAGCAGCAGGUUAAUACCCCGCUGUUCUGACGGUACCCAAAGAAUAAGCACCGGCUAACUUCGUG